rnacentral:rRNA from 1 species
AUGCUGAAGCUCAACUUCAGCGCUGUUACCGAUACUGUCAGCCUUGAGUAGGGUUGAGGUAACUGGAAUGAGUGGUGUAGCGGUGAAAUGCGUAGAGAUCACUCAGAACACCUAUUGCGAAGGCAGGUUACUGGACUCAAACUGACGCUGAGGCACGAAAGCGUGGGGAGCGAACAGGAUUAGAUACCCUGGUAGUCCACGCCCUAAACGAUGGAUACUAGGUUGCCGGUUUUUGAAUUGGCAGCCCAAGCGAAAGUGAUAAGUAUCCCACCUGGGGAGUACGCUCGCAAGGGUGAAACUCAAAGGAAUUGACGGGGGCCCGCACAAGCGGUGGAGCAUGUGGUUUAAUUCGAUGGUACGCGAGGAACCUCACCUGGGCUAGAAUGCGCGUGACCGCCCCUGAAAGGGGGUUUCUCUUCGGAGCACAAAGCAAGGUGCUGCAUGGUUGUCGUCAGCUCGUGCCGUGAGGUGUUAGGUUAAGUCCUGCAACGAGCGCAACCCCUGUGGUCAGUUGCCAGCACAUAGUGGUGGGGACUCUGGCCAGACUGCCUUCGUAAGGAGUGAGGAAGGAGGGGAUGACGUCAAAUCAUCAUGGCCCUUACGCCCAGGGCUACACACGUGCUACAAUGGACGGUACAAUGGGCAGCAAUACCGCAAGGUGGAGCGAAUCUCAAAAAGCCGUUCUCAGUUCGGAUAGGAGUCUGCAACUCGACUCCUUGAAGUUGGAAUCGCUAGUAAUCGCGUAUCAGCCAUGACGCGGUGAUACGUUCCCGGGCCUUGUACACACCGCCCGUCAAGCCAUGGAAGCUGGG